rnacentral:rRNA from 1 species
GUCAAGGGAUUCUAAGGGGGGUUGCCCCCCCCCACCCUUGGUAACUGAGGACCCCGACCAGACUUCUACGGGAGGCAGCAGUAAGGAUAUUUGUCAUGGCGCAAGCCUGAACCAGCCAUGCCGCGUGCAGGAAGACGACCCUACGGGUUGUAAACUGCUUUUGUACGGGAAUAAACCUCUCUACGUGUAGAGAGCUGAAUGUACUGUAAGAAUAAGGAUCGGCUAACUCCGUGCCAGCAGCCGCGGUAAUACGGAGGAUCCAAGCGUUAUCCGGAUUUAUUGGGUUUAAAGGGUGCGUAGGCGGCUUUUUAAGUCAGGGGUGAAAGACGGCAGCUCAACUGUCGCAGUGCCUUUGAUACUGAAGAGCUUGAAUACACUUGAAGUAGGCGGAAUGUGACAAGUAGCGGUGAAAUGCAUAGAUAUGUCACAGAACACCAAUUGCGAAGGCAGCUUACUAAAGCGUGAUUGACGCUGAGGCACGAAAGCGUGGGGAUCAAACAGGAUUAGAUACCCUGGUAGUCCACGCCCUAAACGAUGAACACUCGAUGUUGGCGAUAUACGGUCAGCGUCUAAGCGAAAGCGUUAAGUGUUCCACCUGGGGAGUACGCCCGCAAGGGUGAAACUCAAAGGAAUUGACGGGGGCCCGCACAAGCGGAGGAGCAUGUGGUUUAAUUCGAUGAUACGCGAGGAACCUUACCCGGGCUUGAAAGUUAGUGAAUAGAGCAGAGACGCUCUAGUCCUUCGGGACACGAAACUAGGUGCUGCAUGGCUGUCGUCAGCUCGUGCCGUGAGGUGUUGGGUUAAGUCCCGCAACGAGCGCAACCCCUAUGUUUAGUUGCCAGCACGUCAAGGUGGGGACUCUAAACAGACUGCCUAUGCAAAUAGAGAGGAAGGAGGGGACGACGUCAAGUCAUCAUGGCCCUUACGUCCGGGGCUACACACGUGCUACAAUGGAUGGUACAGCGGGCAGCUACCUGGCAACAGGAUGCCAAUCUCGUAAAGCCAUUCACAGUUCGGAUCGGGGUCUGCAACUCGACCCCGUGAAGUUGGAUUCGCUAGUAAUCGCGUAUCAGCAAUAACGCGGUGAAUACGUUCCCGGGCCUUGUACACACCGCCCGUCAAGCCAUGGAAGCUGGAAGUGCCUGAAGUGCGUAACCGCAAGGAGCGUCCUAGGUAAAGUCGUAGUG